GAUUCCGUAGCUCAGCUGGGAGAGCGCUACCUUGACAGGGUAGAGGUCGCUGGUUCGAACCCAGUCGGAAUCAUCA
rnacentral:tRNA from 3 species